rnacentral:rRNA from 1 species
AGUGAACGCUGGCGGUAGGCCUAACACAUGCAAGUCGAACGGCAGCACAGUAAGAGCUUGCUCUUACGGGUGGCGAGUGGCGGACGGGUGAGGAAUACAUCGGAAUCUACUUUUUCGUGGGGGAUAACGUAGGGAAACUUACGCUAAUACCGCAUACGACCUACGGGUGAAAGCAGGGGAUCUUCGGACCUUGCGCGAUUGAAUGAGCCGAUGUCGGAUUAGCUAGUUGGCGGGGUAAAGGCCCACCAAGGCGACGAUCCGUAGCUGGUCUGAGAGGAUGAUCAGCCACACUGGAACGGAGACACGGUCCAGACGCCUACGGGAGGCAGCAGUGGGGAAUGUGAGACAAUGGGCGCAAGCCUGGUCCAGCCAUACCGCGUGGGUGAAGAAGGCCUUCGGGUUGUAAAGCCCUUUUGUUGGGAAAGAAAAGCAGCAGGUUAAUACCCCGCUGUUCUGACGGUACCCAAAGAAUAAGCACCGGCUAACUUCGUG